CCUACGGGAGGCAGCAGUGGGGCAUAUUGCACAAUGGGGGAAACCCUGAUGCAGCGACGCCGCGUGAAGGAAGAAGUCUUUCGGUAUGUAAACUUCUAUCAGCAGGGACGAACAUGUCGGUACCUGCCUAAGAAGCCCCGGCUAACUACGUGCCAGCAGCCGCGGUAAUACGUAGGGGGCACGCGUUAUCCGGAUUUACUGGGUGUAAAGGGAGCGUAGGGGGUGUAGCGAGUCAGAAGUGAAAGCCCGGGGCUCAACGCCGGGACUGCUUUUGAAACUGUUUAACUAGAUUGCAGGAGAGGUAAGUGGAAUGCCGAGUGUAGCGGUGAAAUGCGUAGAUAGUAGGAGGAACACCAGUGGCGAAGGCGGCUUACUGGACAGUAAAUGACGCUGAGGCGCGAAAGCGUGGGGAGCAAACAGGAUUAGAUACCCUGGUAGUC
rnacentral:rRNA from 1 species